rnacentral:rRNA from 1 species
UACGUAGGUGGCAAGCGUUGUCCGGAAUUAUUGGGCGUAAAGCGCGCGCAGGCGGUCUUUUAAGUCUGAUGUGAAGGCCCACGGCUCAACCGUGGAAGGUCAUUGGAAACUGAAAGGCUUGAGUACAGAAGAGGAAAGCGGAAUUCCACGUGUAGCGGUGAAAUGCGUAGAGAUGUGGAGGAACACCAGUGGCGAAGGCGGCUUUCUGGUCUGUAACUGACGCUGAGGCGCGAAAGCGUGGGGAGCAAACAGG